GCUCGGUAGUUGAGAGCGCGGCGUGCAGCCCGGGCCCCUUGCGGCUUCUCCUGCGCGUUUGCAGGUUACAAACAAAACCGAUGCUUAAGGCGGGGAGGGGGGCAGGGUGUCUUGAGUUUUCACCAGAGCCUAUCGCAGCGUUGCCAGGAAGCCAGUGGCCGACUUCAGAGUCACACAGUGUUUCACUUGGACCUACGUGGUUAUCACCAAAAUGAGGUUUCAAACACACUGUCCUGUUGGGAUUUAUUAUGAGGAAUUGGCUCACAUGAUUAUGGAAGCUGAGAAGUCCUAAGAUCUGCUGUCUGAAAGCUGGAGACCCAGGAAAGCCAGUGGUGAAGUCCAAUCUGAAUCCCCGAAGGCCUGAGGGCCAGAGGAGUGCAUGGUGUAAACCCCUGUCCAAGGGCAGGAGGAGACAGAUGUCCCAGCUCGAGCAGUCAGCUUCCAGGUGACGCUGCUGAGCUUCGGACCACACUCUGAGCAGCGAGAUGCUAGGACAGCGAUUCUCAAACAGGUGAUUUUGGCCUCCAGGGGACACUUGGCAACGUUGCGGAGACAUCUUUGACUGUUACAGCUGGGGUGGUGCUACUGGGUGGAGACCAGAGACGUUGCUAAACAUCUUACUAUGCACAGAACGGCCCUCAGAACAAAGAAGGAUCUUGCCCCAAAGGUCCACAGUGCCAAGGCUGAGAGCCCUGCUCUAGAACGAUCUUCGAAUUUGCCGUGCGCAUCUGUUCUCCCGGCCCUAUGGAUGUGGCCAGAAGGAUCUCGAAGGGGAUGGGCCUGGCGGCGCUCCUGGGCAUUCCCACUGCUUGCCUUUGGGGAUGGGCAGCUCCUGCUCCUGUAGGACUGCGCGUGCGUCUAGGACUCAGGUCCUAGGAGGAUGAACUUGGUGUGCAAACUGGAGGGCUCAAGUACGAAGUCUCAGGUUUAACCUCAGGCAGCUGAAGAGUCUAUUUUGACCAAGGCAGCGGUAGAGUUGCAGCACCAGACCCAUCAGCUGGGGCCUGGCAUUCACUUCAGUGCUUUCAGUUAGACUCUGAAGCGUCUGGGAUGAGCCACAACCUUUCUCCACUUCCCUCCACGUUGGCCUAGACCCCUGGCUUCUGCCCCAUUUUCUUCUUAAGUGUUUUGAUUAAUCUGAAUCCCAUCCACUUGGCUGAGACCUUGAUUAAUCUAGAAACACCUGCCCCAGUGGGUGUUUUCUAUUCCCAUGCCCCACAGCAGUAUGAGAGUGUACUCUUGCCCCUCUUGUGGGACUGACCUGCCGUAGAUGGUCGCUGACCUUCAUCAAGCCUGAAAUGGUUACGCCCCUUGGUCCACAGUGCUUGGGGUUAACACUGCCUUAGCCUCAGGGAUAAGCCCUGUAAUACAGCCAGUUCCUCUGGUUCUGGUCCCUCCCAGCCCAGGCUGCCACCCGCCUCCCUAGGGAGCCCUCUAAAAGUUCACGACUUCUCACCAGUCAAGGGAGGGAGGCACUUAACCUUCUUUUUUGGUUUUUGUUGUUUGUUCGUGUUAAAAUGUUGUUUUGAUCUUCCAAAUAAUUUAUGUAGCAAGCGGGGUAUAUAUUUUAAUCCCAUUUGAGCAAAGCACCCCAGUGACUUUCCCUAACGCCACAGUGCUACUAAAGUGGCGGGGCCAGGGCUUAAACCCGGGUCAUGAAACCAUAGAUCUUUAGGGCUUGAAAGGCCUUUAAAAGUCAUCUAAUCCAGCCAAGUAAACGAAACCUGGAUCUCCUCCAUAACACCUCUGCCAAGUAGUUAACUAGCCUGUAUUUGAAUGCCUUCCCUCACAGGACAGCUUGGUUCAUCUCUGGCUACUUGCGACAGUCAUUUGUUUAAUCAUCUCACACUCUUUUAUUCAUCAAACAAGUAUUUCAGGGCCUAAUAUGGGCACCAUCAGGUGUCAUGUGGCUAUUGAGGUAAUUUCUGGAAGUAAAUUUAGUUAAAGAUAGAAAGUGGAAAGUUCUACAGGAGGGGUACUGAUAAAGUGCUAUGGAAACUGUUGGAAAUUUCUUCCUUCUACUGACCUGAAAACUGUCUUACUGUGUAGCUUCCAAAAUUUGGUCUUAAUUCUGUUC